rnacentral:rRNA from 1 species
AACCGCGGUUACACGGGGGGCUCAAGUUGACAGACGCCGGCGUAAAGCGUGGUUAGGGAAACAUUUUAAACUAAAGCCGAACGUCCUCAGAGCAGUUCAACGCUUCCGAGUUAAGAAGACCUAUCACGAAAGUAGCUUUACCUUACCUGACCCCACGAAAGCUGUGGCA